CAAAGUACCUAGCACUGCAAACGCCAGACUCCAAAACCCUUUAGCAAGUAUAUCAUACUGUGCUACAGCAGAAAUGAUAGUUCCUUUCCACUAAUGUACUCCAGCAACUUUCUACGAGUUUUAAAAAGAAAUACUGCCUUCUUUUUUUUUUUAACCUUUU